AUUGAACGCUGGCGGCAUGCCUUUCACAUGCAAGUCGAACGGUAACAGGUCUUCGGAUGCUGACGAGUGGCGAACGGGUGAGUAAUACAUCGGAACGUGCCUAGUAGUGGGGGAUAACUACUCGAAAGAGAGGCUAAUACCGCAUGAGAUCUACGGAUGAAAGCAGGGGAUCGCAAGACCUUGUGCUACUAGAGCGGCCGAUGGCAGAUUAGGUAGUUGGUGGGAUAAAAGCUUACCAAGCCGACGAUCUGUAGCUGGUCUGAGAGGACGAUCAGCCACACUGGGACUGAGACACGGCCCAGACUCCUACGGGAGGCAGCAGUGGGGAAUUUUGGACAAUGGGCGCAAGCCUGAUCCAGCAAUGCCGCGUGCAGGAUGAAGGCCUUCGGGUUGUAAACUGCUUUUGUACGGAACGAAAAGCCCUGGGUUAAUACCCUGGGGUCAUGACGGUACCGUAAGAAUAAGCACCGGCUAACUACGUGCCAGCCGCCGCGGUAAUAC
rnacentral:rRNA from 1 species